GUGACUGACUUAGGCAUUUAAGAAUAUUCCAAUUCUGACAAAUUGCAAACUCCCCUAACAGAGGCAAAGUAAAGGAAGGAUCUGUGCAAUGAAAGCUGGAAAGUCACCAGGAAUAGAUGGCCUCCCAGCAGAGUUUUAUCACAAAUUUAGAGAUUUGCUACGUCCAUUUUUAACUGAGUAUUACAUGAAGCCUUUGAAUAUGGACGGCUCCCUGACCGUAAUAUCAGUAAUUCCAAAGGCGACAAAGAUUUAACGGAUCCAGGAAAUUACAGACUGAUAAAUGUGGAUUACAAAAUUCUAUCCAAAGUAUUAACAAUGAGGCUGGAGGUUGUACUACCACAAAUUAGAGAUGGCACGAUACCACUUUUUUAUGUCCGAUACCGAUAUCAUAAAUUUGGAUAUCUGCCGAUACCGAUAUGAAUCCGAUACAGUGUUUUUUAAUCAACAAAAUUGUUUUUUAAAUAUCUUGCUGCAUUUUGUAUAAGUUCAUACUCAAGUUUAAAACAACAACUACACUAAAGCUAUUCUGUUAUACCUGUAUGCAAAAAAAAAUAUUUCAUACUUCAGCAAUACUGAUCAAUCUAAUAAACUUAAACCUACACCAUCCUCCCUAUUCUGGUAUUUUAAAGAGUACUUAGCAUAAAUAUUAAGCAACCUAACUAAUAGGGUUCCAACUCCCAGCAACAACAAAAAUAAAUAAAUAAAAAAUAGGGAACCACCCCUCACGCUCCACCUCAUGAUGCUUAAUCGACGUAAUCAACCUCAAUUUGAUGCAGUGUGAAAAAAAAAAUGCACCGAAAUCAAUUAUUUUUCAAGAAAUAUUAAAUAGAUUCAACAUCUUUCUUCAACAAAAUUGCAGACUCCACAGAUGGUACCUUCCCAAAGGAAAAAGUACUAUAGCUUACUAGGGUAUAUAUAUUAGACUUAAUAGUCACUAUAUACAGUAAUUGACUUCUAUUCAUUUUACAUCAAAUUAAAACUUUGGGUGUCAAAUAAUUAUUUAUUAAAAGCUAGACAUUUUAAAUGAGAAUAAGAAAGAAAAGUAUGUCUUUGUGCCCCCUUUUCCCUGUUAAUGCCCUAUCGGCCCCCCUGGCUAAACUUUGCUAGAUCCGCCCCUGCACAGUUACCAGCGUCAGCUAUGUAGAAAAAGAUCCUCAAGUAGAAAGUAAUAUUAAAUACAUUCUAGCAACAGCUGAUCAAGCUUAAACGUGCUGCUGUUGUUCAGC
ensembl:lncRNA